rnacentral:rRNA from 1 species
ACUGCUCAGUAACACGUGGACAACCUGCCCUUAGGUUGGGUAUAAACCCGGGAAACUGGGUAUAAUACCCGAUAGGUCUCGAUUGCUGGAAUGCAUCGAGAUUUAAAGCUCCGGCGCCUAAGGAUGGGUCUGCGGCCUAUUGGGUAGUAGUGGGUGUAGCGUACCUACUAGCCUACGACGGGUACGGGUUGUGAGAGCAAGAGCCCGGAGAUGGAUUCUGAGACACGAAUCCAGGCCCUACGGGGUGCAGCAGGCGCGAAAACUUUACAAUGCUGGCAACAGCGAUAAGGGAACCUCGAGUGCCAGGUUACAAAUCUGGCUGUCGAGAUGCCUAAAAAGCAUUUCAUAGCAAGGGCCGGGCAAGACCGGUGCCAGCCGCCGCGGUAACACCGGCGGCUCGAGUGGUAACCGUUAUUAUUGGGUCUAAAGGGUCUGUAGCCGGCCGGAUAAGUCUCUUGAGAAAUCUGGCAGCUUAACUGUCAGGCUUUCAGGAGAUACUGUCUGGCUCGAGGCCGGGAGAGGUGAGAGGUACUUCAGGGGUAGGGGUGAAAUCUUGUAAUCCUUGAAGGACCACCAGUGGCGAAGGCGUCUCACCAGAACGGACCUGACGGCAAGGGACGAAAGCUAGGGGCACGAACCGGAUUAGAUACCCGGGUAGUCCUAGCCGUAAACGAUACUCGCUAGGUGUCGGCCACGGUGCGACCGUUGUCGGUGCCGUAGGGAAGCCGUGAAGCGAGCCACCUGGGAAGUACGGCCGCAAGGCUGAAACUUAAAGGAAUUGGCGGGGGAGCAC